AUUUGUGCUCAGGGGACAGAGUAGGGGACUGGAAGAGUCAUGAAGCCUUGAUGAGGGACAGACAUCUUCGUUGACACUUGAGGGAAGAGUUGAAGAGUUACUCAAGUGAAAUGAUGGGUCCAAGGCUUCAGGAAAAGAAAUAAGAAACGUGGUUAUGAAUGGACCUUAUGUACACUUUACUCAUCAAGCCAGAAAAUGGGAUCUUCAGAAAGUCUCCAGGUGGAUAGAAGGAAGAGUAGCCUGCAUGGGGCUCAAUCUCACGACCCUGAGGUCAUGACCUGAUCUGAAAUUAAAUCAAGAGGCUGGCUCCGGCUCUUAGCCAACUGAGCCACCCAGCCACCCUUGUGAGCAGUGCCUUUUACUAUAGGCACCAUGUUGCACUGUAGAUCCCUAGGACUCACUCAUCUUGCAUAGCUGAAACUUUAUUUGACUUUGACUUUGACUAAUACGUCCCCAUUUCUCACCACCUAGCCACGUUACCACUACCAUUCUCCUUUGUGCCUCGAUGAGUUUGCCCAUGGUAGAUAUCUCAUGUAAAUGACACCAUGUAGGGUUUGUCUUUCUCCUUCUGCCUUAUUUGACUCAGCAUAAAGUUUCCAGAUUCCUCCAUGUUGUCUCAAAUGGAAAGGCUUCCUUCCUUCUUUUGGGUCCAAACAGUAUUCUACUGUGCAAACAUCACAUUUUCUCUCUCCAUUUGUCAGCCUAUGGAUAGCGUUUACGUUAUUUUCAUGUCCUGGCUAUUGUGAAUAAUAAUGCAAUGGACAUGGAAGCGCAGAUACCUCUUUGAGACCCUGAUUUCAGCUUCUUUGCCUACAUUCCCAGAUAUGGGGUUGCAUGAUCAUCCAGCGGUUCUAUUUUUAAUUUUUUGAAUUAUCUCCAUACGGUCUUCCACAGUAGCUGCACCAAUUACAUUCCCACCAACAGUGCAUGAGGGCUCUCCGUUCUCCACAUCCAAUCAGUUUCAGUAAGGUUUAUUUGUCAAGGAAUUUGUCAUUUUUCACCAAAGUAGCUCAAUUUAUCGGCAUACAAAUUUGUUAUAACACUUUCAUACUCUCGAUAUAGGCAGAGUCUACAGUAAUAUCCCAUCUUUCAUUUAUGAUAUUGGCAAUUUUGUUGCUUUUUCUUUCUGGUGAUCAAUUUCACUAAUUAUAUAAAUUUUAUUAGUUUUCCAAAGAA